rnacentral:rRNA from 1 species
CACGUAGGCGGCCCGGUAAGUCGGAUGUGAAAGCCCUCGGCUCAACCGAGGAAGUGCAUUCGAAACUACCGGGCUUGAAUAUGGAAGAGGGUCGCGGAAUUCCCGGUGUAGAGGUGAAAUUCGUAGAUAUCGGGAGGAACACCAGUGGCGAAGGCGGCGACCUGGGCCAAUAUUGACGCUGAGGUGCGAAAGCGGUGGGGAAGCAAACA